ACUCCUACGGGAGGCAGCAGUGGGGAAUAUUGCACAAUGGGCGCAAGCCUGAUGCAGCCAUGCCGCGUGUAUGAAGAAGGCCUUCGGGUUGUAAAGUACUUUCAGCGGGGAGGAAGGUGUUGAGGUUAAUAACCUCAGCAAUUGACGUUACCCGCAGAAGAAGCACCGGCUAACUCCGUGCCAGCAGCCGCGGUAAUACGGAGGGUGCAAGCGUUAAUCGGAAUUACUGGGCGUAAAGCGCACGCAGGCGGUCUGUCAAGUCGGAUGUGAAAUCCCCGGGCUCAACCUGGGAACUGCAUUCGAAACUGGCAGGCUAGAGUCUUGUAGAGGGGGGUAGAAUUCCAGGUGUAGCGGUGAAAUGCGUAGAGAUCUGGAGGAAUACCGGUGGCGAAGGCGGCCCCCUGGACAAAGACUGACGCUCAGGUGCGAAAGCGUGGGGAGCAAACAGGAUUAGAAACCCUAGUAGUCCCAUG
rnacentral:rRNA from 1 species